rnacentral:rRNA from 1 species
CACGUAGGGUGCGAGCGUUGUCCGGAAUUAUUGGGCGUAAAGAGCUCGUAGGCGGUCUGUCGCGUCUGCCGUGAAAACCCGAGGCUUAACCUCGGGCUGGCGGUGGAUACGGGCAGACUAGAGGUAGGUAGGGGAGAAUGGAAUUCCCGGUGUAGCGGUGAAAUGCGCAGAUAUCGGGAGGAACACCGGUGGCGAAGGCGGUUCUCUGGGCCUUACCUGACGCUGAGGAGCGAAAGCGUGGGGAGCGAACAGG